CACAGGACGAAGCUACCACACGACAUCGAUUACACGCGUCUCAUGCACCCCGAGGAUCCCAGUGUUCCGGGAGCCAGGGAGCAACAAGCCAGCACCUGCCAAAGUGUCCCGGCUUCCAGAGCUGGUGUUUAUGCCAGCGCCGGGAGUCUGCCGGAUACCAGCGACAGAGAGGUAGCAGAACGCCGUGUCUGUUGACUGUCUUGGAAGCAACCCCUUGAAUCGGGAGAAAGAGAAAGCAAAGGUGGAGGUUAAUGGUUGUCACUCUCCACGGAGACAGCCAACCCCAGCGGUCACCAAGGUCUCAACAUCAUCUCAGGUUGA